GGCUAUUGGCUCUGACGUGAGGCGAGCAGUGAUGACGUGCGGGAGCCAUUUUGGACGUUCAUUUUCUUUUGUAAGGGGCUUCGGAAGGCUGUCUUUAAUCUUUACUUUUGGUCCCAUUGCCAAGAAGAGUUGUUCGAAAGGUCGUUAAUACCUGAGUUCGGAAGAAACAGCUUAUAAUCGAGAAAAUGCCGCCUCUUGAAACGGAUAUAGCAGUGGAAACCGAAGAGAGAGUAAGGUUUGAUCGUAUAAUACAGGAGCUUAAAGAUCUGUGCUCAUUGAUAAAGAGGCUAAUGUCAGAGCGCUUGGAAAGUAUCAAGGAGAGAGCGCUAACAAAUGUGCAAGCCUGAUCGGUCACAAAAUCGAAUUACCGAAGUAAAUGUAAAACAAGAGAAACCUGCAGAAAAAAAGGAAAAAUAAAUAGAAGAAGAGAAAUCUACAGGAUCGGUUCAGGAGAUACAAUCUACACAUAAUAGGAAUACCUGAAACGGGAAAGCAAAUGAAGCUGAAACAAUAAGGACCUAAUUGAAGAAAAUAUUCCAGAUUCGAAAAACGAACUCAAUCUGCAAAUAGAAAAAGUUCAUAGAGUACCAGUAAAACAACGAAAAGAAAGCAACACCUAGACAUAUCCUAGUGACAUCUUUAAACUGGAAGGAUAAAGAAAAAAAUUCUCCCAAGUAUUCAGAGAAAGCAGGUUACCUGUAAAGGGGUAAAAGUCAGACUGACGCCAUUUUUCUCUUGCAACUGUAAAUGCCGAAAGGCAAGGGGGCAGUAUCUACAGUUUUAAGGGAAAAUGAUUUUGAACUAAGAGUUACAUAUCCUGCCAAGUUAUCGUUUCUAAAUGAAGGCAACUGGCAGACAUUCGUAGAUAUGCAGCGGUUAAGAAAGUAUAUCAGCCAAAUACCAUUCUUGAAAAAUUUGCUAAAUGCUGUUACUGCAGCGCACAAAAACAAGAGUAGUGAGGCAAUUGUAUUAAAAAAAAAAUGGCGGGUAAGCAUUAAAGCUAGUUAGGUAUCAUUAAAGAUUAAAUUGUUAUAUGUAGGGUUAUAAAACUAAAUGCAAAGAUAAAUUCUUCAGUUGGGUCUAAAAUUUCAGUUUGUCUUGUUUUAAACCGAAAAGGUGUGCUAAAUGUUCAAUGUAGACAAUAAGUACUGUUUUUAGUAUGUAAUGUGGAUAAAGAUAUGCAUGCUCUUCAGCUAAACAAAUAAAAGGGCUUUGUUACUGUGGUGGACAGGACACCUAGAGUAAAGGCAUUCCAAGUGUUAAUCUCAUAAAAUGGGAAAUUGGUACAGUAUUGUGCCCUUUAUUUUUAAUUGUAGAGGGUGGGGAAAGUAAUUUCCAAAUCCCUGACUGGGGAGGUGGUAGAUGAAAACCUUGUUUUAUGUACAUCUUGCCUAGGGAAAAUCAGUAGUAACCACUUCAUGUAGUAGUUCAUUCUAAGUAAAUUUGACAUUGAGAUAAGUGUUACAGAUAAAAUUGGAGAGGAAAUGGUGAAAAAACAAAAACAGCAAGGAAACAUUAAAAUUAGCAUAAAAUAGAUUAACAGAUCACACUCAUAAACAGGCUAAAUAUCCCUGUUAAAAAGAUUCAAAUUGGGUCAAAAAUCAGUCUCUGAAUCUGGAGUUCACAUUUGUAUAAAACAAAGGAUAAAGGAAUUUAAAGAUAAUGAAAACUAUUAAGGCAUAGAAAUUGAGAUAGGGAGCAACAUUUCUAUGAGAAUUCUUUUUUUCCCCCAUGGUACCUCCACACCCAUUUUUUUUUUAUCAGAAUUUAAGCUAUAACAAAGUAUAAAACUGUAGGAUGUAGCAUUUAAGAAGCUUCAUGUGGUAAAUAACAUGGCAUUCAUCUGUAAAAUGUUCAAUAUCUUGAUGUGAGUGGUAGUUUUACUGCUGUAUAUAUAGUUUUUAAGUGCAUUCUAAAAUAAAGUAAUUCUUAAUUCAAA